GAUGAACGCUGGCGGCGUGCCUAAUACAUGCAAGUCGAGCGAACAGACGAGGAGCUUGCUCCUCUGACGUUAGCGGCGGACGGGUGAGUAACACGUGGAUAACCUACCUAUAAGACUGGGAUAACUUCGGGAAACCGGAGCUAAUACCGGAUAACAUGUUGAACCGCAUGGUUCAACAGUGAAAGACGGUCUUGCUGUCACUUAUAGAUGGAUCCGCGCCGCAUUAGCUAGUUGGUAAGGUAACGGCUUACCAAGGAAACGAUGCGUAGCCGACCUGAGAGGGUGAUCGGCCACACUGGAACUGAGACACGGUCCAGACUCCUACGGGAGGCAGCAGUAGGGAAUCUUCCGCAAUGGGCGAAAGCCUGACGGAGCCACGCCGCGUGAGUGAAGAAGGUCUUCGGAUCGUAAAACUCUGUUAUUAGGGAAGAACAAAUGUGUAAGUAACUAUGCACGUCUUGACGGUACCUAAUCAGAAAGCCACGGCUAACUACGUG
rnacentral:rRNA from 1 species